AUGCUAGUCGCACGGGUUUAGACCCGUGGCAGACAGCUCAGUAACACGUGGCCAAACUACCCUACGGACCAGUAUAACCUCGGGAAACUGAGGCUAAUGCCGGGACCGUGAAACGCUCCGGCGCCACAGGAUGCGGCUGCGGCCGAUUAGGUAGACGGUGGGGUAACGGCCCACCGUGCCCAUAAUCGGUACGGGUCAUGGAAGUGAGUGCCCGGAGACGGUAUCUGAGACAAGAUACCGGGCCCUACGGGGCGCAGCAGGCGCGAAACCUUUACACUGCACGACAGUGCGAUAAGGGGACUCCGAGUGCGAGGGCAUAUAGCCCUCGCUUUUCUGUACCGUAGGGUGGUACAGGAACAAGUGCUGGGCAAGACCGGUGCCAGCCGCCGCGGUAAUACCGGCAGCACGAGUGAUGGCCGAUUUUAUUGGGCCUAAAGCGUCCGUAGCUGGCCGCACAAGUCCGUCGGGAAAUCGACGCGCUCAACGCGUCGGCGUCCGGCGGAAACUGUUCGGCUUGGGGCCGGAAGACCCGAGGGGUACGUCCGGGGUAGGAGUGAAAUCCCGUAAUCCUGGACGGACCACCGGUGGCGAAAGCGCCUCGGGAAGACGGACCCGACAGUGAGGGACGAAAGCUGGGGUCUCGAACCGGAUUAGAUACCCGGGUAGUCCCAGCUGUAAACGAUGCUCGCUAGGUGUGGCG
rnacentral:rRNA from 1 species